rnacentral:rRNA from 1 species
GUGAGGAAUAUUGGUCAAUGGGCGGGAGCCUGAACCAGCCAAGUCGCGUGAAGGAAGAAGGAUCUAUGGUUCGUAAACUUCUUUUGCAGGGGAAUAAAGUGCAGGACGUGUCCUGUUUUGUAUGUACCCUCAGAAUAAGGAUCGGCUAACUCCGUGCCAGCAGCCGCGGUAAUACGGAGGAUCCGAGCGUUAUCCGGAUUUAUUGGGUUUACAGGGUGCGUAGGUGGUUUGAUAAGUCAGCGGUGAAAGUUUGCAGCUUAACUGUAAAAAUGCCGUUGAAACUGUCGGACUUGAGUGUAAAUGAGGUAGGCGGAAUGCGUGGUGUAGCGGUGAAAUGCAUAGAUAUCACGCAGAACGCCGAUUGCUAAGGCAGCUUACUACGGGGUGUUUGACACUGAGGCACGAAAGCGUGGGGAGCAAACAGGAUUAGAAACCCCAGUAGUCC